rnacentral:rRNA from 1 species
UUGAAAUACCACCCUUUAAUGUUUGAUGUUCUAACGUAGACCCGUGAUCCGGGUUGCGGACAGUGUCUGGUGGGUAGUUUGACUGGGGCGGUCUCCUCCCAAAGAGUAACGGAGGAGCACGAAGGUUAGCUAAUCCUGGUCGGACAUCAGGAGGUUAGUGCAAUGGCAUAAGCUAGCUUGACUGCGAGCGUGACGGCGCGAGCAGGUGCGAAAGCAGGUCAUAGUGAUCCGGUGGUUCUGAAUGGAAGGGCCAUCGCUCAACGGAUAAAAGGUACUCCGGGGAUAACAGGCUGAUACCGCCCAAGAGUUCAUAUCGACGGCGGUGUUUGGCACCUCGAUGUCGGCUCAUCACAUCCUGGGGCUGAAGUAGGUCCCAAGGGUAUGGCUGUUCGCCAUUUAAAGUGGUACGCGAGCUGGGUUUAGAACGUCGUGAGACAGUUCGGUCCCUAUCUGCCGUGGGCGCUGGAGAAUUGAGGGGGGCUGCUCCUAGUACGAGAGGACCGGAGUGGACGCAUCACUGGUGUUCGGGUUGUCAUGCCAAUGGCAUUGCCCGGUAGCUAAAUGCGGAAAAGAUAAGUGCUGAAAGCAUCUAAGCACGAAACUUGCCCCGAGAUGAGUUCUCCCUGACUCCUUGAGAGUCCUGAAGGAACGUUGAAGACGACGACGUUGAUAGGUCGGGUGUGUAAGCGUAGCGAUACGUUGAGCUAACCGAUACUAAUGAACCGUGAGGCUUAACCUUACAACGCCGAAGCUGUU